UUUUUUCGUUUUAGUUUCUGUUAAAAAAAAGACACGGGAGAUAUUCUGGGGUGAGAUCCCCAUCGCCAGGAAGCCAAUCCCUGGCAAACCGCAGCGCCACCCCUUCCUUUUUUUUAUUUUUCCCCUUUUCUUUUCUUUUCUUUCUUUUUUUCUUCUCUCUCUUUCCUUCCCUCUUCUUCUUCCUUCCUUCUUUCUUCUCCCGUGACUUUCCUUUCUCCAGCAAGCAG
rnacentral:lncRNA from 1 species